AACUGCAGCAGAGAAACAAAAACUAUUUGGAUUCAUCCGAAAGCUCUUCAUUUGCUUGCUCCUCUUUUUAUUAACGGCUCGAAGCGUGCAGCCUGUCUUGUUCUGACUACGUGUCUGUCAGCAAGAGCAGAGGUGCUGAUCUCAAGAGGGCAUCUUGCAUAUGCCAGAGGAAGAACAUCUUGUUUGAGGGAAAACCUGCCUAUAAAUCUGUGCAAAUUGAAAGGGUUUUUUUGCAGUGUCAUAUGUGAUGGGAGGAGUACAGAAUAUUUGUCUUUGACUGAAAUGUCCUCUGCAGUGUGUUCCUGAGGCGUGGGAAUUAACCUGAGGUUAAAACUUGAAGUGGUCUGAUUGAACUUCCUAUCUUUCUUAAUUGUUAUCUUCUUUCUGUGUGAUAAUUUUAAUUUCACUUCCUCUUGGGUAAUCGUGGAGCAGUCUGAGUUUGUGUUCUAUCAGACAAAAAAAUAAAAACACAGACCAAUAAAUGUUUUCGUGCUGUUCUUUGUUAUUUUUUUAGAGAUACACAAGAGC
rnacentral:lncRNA from 1 species